AGAGAUGGAGGGCUCUGACCAGAUAGAGAGAUGGAGGGCUCUGCCCAGGUAGAGAGAUGGAGGGCUCUGCCCAGGUAGAGAGAUGGAGGGCUCUGCCCAGGUAGAGAGAUGGAGGGCUCUGACCAGGUAGAGAGAUGGAGGGCUCUGACCAGGUAGAGAGAUGGAGGGCUCUGACCAGGUAGAGAGAUGGAGGGCUCAGACCAGGUAGAGAGAUGGAGGGCUCAGACCAGGUAGAGAGAUGGAGGGCUCUGACCAGGUAGAGAGAUGGAGGGCUCUGACCAGGUAGAGAGAUGGAGGGCUCUGACCAGGUAGAGAGAUGGAGGGCUCUGCCCAGGUAGAGAGAUGGAGGGCUCUGCCCAGGUAGAGAGAUGGAGGGCUCUGCCCAGGUAGAGAGAUGGAGGGCUCUGCCCAGGUAGAGAGAUGGAGGGCUCUGCCCAGGUGACCAGGUGGAGAGAUGGAGGGCUCUGACCAGGUAGAGAGAUGGAGGGCUCUGACCAGGUAGAGAGAUGGAGGGCUCUGACCAGGUAGAGAGAUGGAGGGCUCUGGCCAGGUAGAGAGAUGGAGUGCUCUGACCAGGUAGAGAGAUGACAGUUGUUGCUGCC
ensembl:lncRNA